rnacentral:misc_RNA from 1 species
AUUGGCAGGAGAUGGUCAAUGAUCAAGAAACUUGUGAAGUGGAUGUCUGGCCAGAGCUUCAGAAAAUAGCUAUGGAUAUCAUUUCACGGGUUGCAUUUGGAAGUAAUUAUGAAGAAGGAAAGAAGAUAUUUGAACUUCUGCAAGAGUCGCUGACGCUGACUUUUGAAGCUAUGCAGAUGGUGUAUAUUCCUGGUUUCAGAUUUGUUCCGACAAAGAAGAAUCGGAGGAGAUACAAAUUGGUCGCAGAGACCACAUCAAUGCUGAGAGAUUUAGUUGAGAGGAAACAGAAUGCUAUGAGAACUGGACAAUCAAGGGUUGAUGACUUGCUAAGCUUACUCUUGCAAUCUAAUGAACAGAACAGUCUUGGAAAUGCAAGUGGCAAAAAAGUUAAUGGGUUGACAAUUGAAGAGGUAAUAGAGGAAUGCAAGGUUUUCUAUCUCGCUGGCCAAGAAACAACCUCUAGCCUGUUGACAUGGACAAUGAUAGUGUUAUCUAUGCACCCAGACUGGCAAGAAAAGGCAAGGGAAGAAGUUCUACAAGUUUGUGGGAAGAGUGAGAACCUGAUUUUGAAGCUUUGAGUCAUCUCAAAGUUGUAACCAUGAUCCUGAAUGAAGUCCUAAGGUUAUAUCCACCAGGAAUUGCUCAACAUAGACAUACCU